rnacentral:rRNA from 1 species
UAUGUGAUCGUCUCUCGCAUAUCAAUAAGCGGAGGAAAAGAAACUAACAAGGAUUCCCCUAGUAACGGCGAGUGAAGCGGGAAGAGCUCAAAUUUGAAAUCUUAAAGGGUUUCCCUUUACGAAUUGUAAUUUAAAGAAGUGUUUUCUGUUGAGGUUUUGGUAAAAGUUCUUUGGAAUAGGACAUCAUAGAGGGUGAGAAUCCCGUAUUUGACCUUUACUUUCAACUUUGUGAUACACUUUCAAAGAGUCGGAUUGUUUGGGAAUGCAGUCCAAAAUGGGUGGUAAAUUUCAUCUAAAGCUAAAUAUUGGCGAGAGACCGAUAGCGAACAAGUACCGUGAGGGAAAGAUGAAAAGAACUUUGAAAAGAGAGUUAAACAGUACGUGAAAUUGUCAAAAGGGAAGCGUUUGACACCAGUGUUGUUUUUCUGAAAAUCAAUUAAAGAACUGUUUAUGCUAAGUUGUUUAGACUUUAUCAGCUAUCUGCUUAGUUUUGAGCUUUUCUUUAAUGCACUUUUCAGUUAACAAGUCAACAUCAAUUUCUUUUGCUGUAAAAAAGCUUGAGGAAGGUGGCUUGAGAUUCGUCUUAAGUGUUUAUAGCCUCUUGCCUAUGCAGUCGGAGAGAUUGAGGUCUGCAGCGUAGAUCCUUCGGGGCUAAAUGCAUUUGUGCUAAGUUAUAAGCAUUUUAUAGACAACUUGUUGACUAUGAUUUGUCUUGUAGCUUACUCGCUUAUGUUAUUUUACCUACGCUUAGGAUGUUGAGUAGCGACAUACGCAC